rfam:Firmicutes bacterium CAG:95 genomic scaffold, scf327
UGAUAUCAGGGUUAAAAGGUCAAAAGAUCGUUCGUGCUUGCACGAUAAGACUUUUGACCUUGGAACCCGCCAAACAUGAGAAAGAAGCGAUUUACGUAGUAAAUCAGCGGAUUUCGAAUGUUUGAGAAUUGCGGGAGCUGCUUUGCAGCGAAGCAAUUCGUGGAUAUCA